rnacentral:tRNA from 1 species
AGCUCAGUUGGCAGAGCGCAUCCAUGGUAAGGAUGAGGUCGCCGGUUCAAUCCCGGUC